GUGGGGAAUAUUGGACAAUGGGCGAAAGCCUGAUCCAGCCAUGCCGCGUGUGUGAAGAAGGUCUUCGGAUUGUAAAGCACUUUAAGUUGGGAGGAAGGGCAGUAAGUUAAUACCUUGCUGUUUUGACGUUACCGACAGAAUAAGCACCGGCUAACUUCGUGCCAGCAGCCGCGGUAAUACGAAGGGUGCAAGCGUUAAUCGGCAUUACUGGGCGUAAAGCGCGCGUAGGUGGUUUUGUCAGUUGGAGGUGCACUCCCCGGGCUCAACCUGGGAACGGCCUCCAAAACUGCAUGACUAGAGUACGGUAGAGGGUAGUGGAAUUUCCUGUGUAGCGGUGAAAUGCGUAGAUAUAGGAAGGAACACCAGUGGCGAAGGCGACUACCUGGACUGAUACUGACACUGAGGUGCGAAAGCGUGGGGAGCAAACAGGAUUAGAUACCCUAGUAGUCC
rnacentral:rRNA from 1 species